UUAAGUUAAAAAAUAUAGUUAGAAGAUUAUUAGAAAGGAUUAUAGAAAAUAGUAAUUUGUUGUUGUUGUUAAAGAAGAAUAAAUUGAUAUUAUUGGAUUUAUUGUCGUCGAAAGGACUCAGAAGAAGGAUAUUACAAAUAGAAGAAAGCCUCCUUGGCCAGCGCAUGUCGCCGGGUCUGGUCAAGGAGGGCAAAGCGCGUAAACUGAUCAAGAUAACAACACACAUUUUUUGUUCGUUGUCGCCCGCGAACGUAACACUGAACAGUCAACCAGUUCAGUUAAUUAGCUUGCAUUAUCUUGAUGCAUUUUGCAUUAGCUUGAUACGUCAGAUUUUAAGAUUUCGUAAAUACUGUGAUUUAACCACUAUAGACAACAAAGAAACAUUUAGGAAUGUUUGAAUUUGUUAUUCGUGCAAUUUCAAAAGCACCACAGACUUCACGCCGAGUUUCAAUGAAUAUUUCUGUUAUUUUGCUUCGCCUCGUUGGUUCAAUUCGUGUUCCGCUUUCAUAACGCGUACUUGAAUUGAAGUGCUUCCUCAAUUAAAGAAGAUGUUUUCAAAGUGUUUUCAUUUUGUAAUACUGACUGUGAUUUUCCUGUUACUCCAAGGUACGUUUUCUGCCAUUUCUAACAUGUAUUUAUGUUUCAUGUGCUUUCAAACACGCAGUCACUUCCGUGAUGAACCUAUAACCUCAUAAUAAGUGGCAAUGAUUAUAAAUCUAAACAAGACGCGGCCACGGAGCGUUGUCACUGGACUAUAGAAAUAUGCAACUUUAAGUACAAGUAUAGCACUAAAAAAUACCGAAAAUAUUGAUUCUUGAAGUUUGCAGCCUGGCAGUUAGCGUUAAUAGUUAUAUAAGUACAACCAUGUGGCAUAGCCAAUGUUAUUUUAAUAGUACAUAUAAUGUACAGUACAGCUUAUUUAUGGUAUGUGUAUAUAACUUCUGUCUAAUGAAAUAAUGCCUCGUAAGAGGAGAAGUAUUUCGCAUGAUUCCCAAGCGAAAUGUAUGGAGUUAAUUCAGUGAGUUAAAUGUGACGUAGCCAAUGACGCGUGUCUAUAAAUUCAAUAUAUCACAUAAACUAUAUAUAUAUAGACGUAUAUACCUUAAUACCACAAUUAAGAUAACGAAACAUUUCGGUAGUGAAUCAAAGCAGUUUGCCAAAUUAAAACUGCACCCGGUGCAUCUGUAAGAAUAAUAUCUAUAUUUUUUAAACCCUAUUUUAAUUUUAUUUUGAGCCUGACUGCAAGUUAUUUGCAUUUUAAUAAGUCGCGUCCCUGAUUUUUUUUUCAUCUCUUUGGCGUAAAGCCCACUUUAAAACAGCUUAAACAUGACAAAACAGUUUGCAAUACAAAUCGCCCGGCGACCGCUCAGACCACUCCUUGAAUGGCGGCCAUCUUGCUCAUUAAUAGACAGAUUUAUAGAGAGUUUGAGCAAGACAACGAAGUCGAACGACGACGACGUGGUUGACUAUUUUUGCCUGUCUUGCACAUUACUUUGUGCAUUCUAAGCUUAGGGUUAGGAGUGAAGACAGAUUAGAGAUUCAUGUCUAGCUGUUUGUGAAUGCCGACCCAAAUCCUUACCCUGACCAGGAUAAAACAGCGAGACAUGAAUCCAUAUCCCGUCUUCGUGUUCUGCCUUCGUUCACAACGAAUAUUUUGGCAAAAUUCGUUGUGAACUUCGUUCUGCACGAAGACAGAAGGACAAAGACGGGAUAUAGUUUCAUGUCUCGUUGUUUUUUUCUGGAUCAGGGCAAGAAUUAUGGUCAGUAUUCAUAAACAGCGACACAUGGGAAGACACGUCUUCGUCUUCGUACUUCGUUGUCUUGCUCAAAGUCUCUUAUAUCGAGGAAGCGGACGUCAAAGACGACGUGAAAAUAUAGCGUGCCCAUGUAUGGAUAUGCUACGCCAUUUGGACGCCAUUUUUACGUCGUCUUUGACGUCCGCGUCCUCGAUCUAAAUCUGUCUAAUAUUCUAUUUUGCGGCUAUCCGACAUCUGCCAAAGAUAAGAACUGUUUGGAAAUUGGAAUAACUACAAUAUAGCUACACCUGUAGCUACUAUAAUCAGUUCAGUUAAUUAGCUUGCAUUAGCUUGAUGCAUAUUUAGACAAAUGAAAUAUACUUAUGUGAUAUAAGUCAUAUAAAUGAGCUAUGAAAGACAUUGUUGGACACUGUGCCAUCAACACCCAUAUAGUCUACGCUAAGUAACUAACAUGAGCGUAAUAAAGGCAAGCAAACAGACACGCAACGGGAUUCAUUGUUUACUUCGUUGUUUAUUUUUAUUUUUGUUUUGUUUCAGGUGCUGCUUGUUUCUUUGUGAAACAUGUGCAGACAGGGAUGUGUAUUAAUGACACAGGAAUACUACAGGUGGACGCGCCUUGGGGAACCUUAUCUUUUGUGGAACUUUCCAACAACUGUCUCGAUCCAGCUGCUCAGUUUCGGUUUCUUGAUAAUAGUGCCAUGCUCAAUUUGAAAAGAAAGGGAUGUUUCGAGGGAACAGUUAGGAGUGAUUUUGGUUAUAUUCUUUCUGCGUUGUAUUUGCUCGUUGCUACAGAUCCUUCAGGUAAUUGUCGUGAUCGGGACCAUGCUAUAACCCAGACCUCUUGGGGAGGUUUGUCUGUAUAUUAUUUACCUGAUAAACGGGCGCGGUGUGCAGUCCCUGAUAAUUAUGUUCGACUAGCUACAAAUAAAGGAAUAGAUCCCUACAUCAGAUUGACGACAAACUGUAACGACGCAGAGAAUAAACGUUUCAAUUUUGGU